AUUGAACGCUGGCGGCAGGCCUAACACAUGCAAGUCGAGCGGAGCGGCGGACGGGCGAGUAAUGCCUAGGAGUCUGCCUGGUAGUGGGGGAUAACGUCCGGAAACGGGCGCUAAUACCGCCUACUCUCAGAUGAGUCUAGGUCGGAUUGGCUAGUUGGUGGGGUAAGGGCCUACCAAGGCGACGAUCCGUAACUGGUCUGAGAGGAUGAUCAGUCACACUGGAACUGAGACACGGUCCAGACUCCUACGGGAGGCAGCAGUGGGGAAUAUUGGACAAUGGGCGAAAGCCUGAUGCAGCCAUGCCGCGUGUGUGAAGAAGGUCUUCGGGUUGUAAAGCACUUUAAGUUGGGAGGCGUUACCAACAGAAGAAGCACCGGCUAACUUCGUGCCAGCCGCCGCGGUAAUUC
rnacentral:rRNA from 1 species